GACGAACGCUGGCGGCGUGCUUAACACAUGCAAGUCGAACGGAAAGGCCCUGCCUUUGUGGGGUGCUCGAGUGGCGAACGGGUGAGUAACACGUGAGUAACCUGCCCCUGACUGUGGGAUAACUUCAGGAAACUGGGGCUAAUACCGGAUAGGAGCUACUGCUGCAUGGUGGGGGCUGGUAAGUUUCGGCGGUUGGGGAUGGACUGGCGGCUUAUCGGCUUGUUGGGGUGGUAGUGGCUUACCAAGCCCUGGACGGGUAGCCGGCCUGGGCGGGUAACCGGCCCCAUUGGGACUGGACUGCGGCCCAGCCUCCUACGGGAGGCAGCGGUGGGGAAUAUUGUACUGUAGGCUGAGGCCUGGUCUGACCACGCCGCGUCCGGUGUGAGGGCCUUCGGGUUGUGUUCCGCUUCCGCCUUUGACGAAGCGUGAAUGACGGUAAUGGGUAAAGAAGCACCGGCUAACUACGUG
rnacentral:rRNA from 1 species